rnacentral:lncRNA from 1 species
UAUAAAUAAAAUUUGAGGGGUGAUUGCUUAAAUAUUUUUAAAAAAUUUGCGACUACCUAAUUUAUCCCUCUUAGGAGAUUAAUAUUAAAAAUACUAUUUUUAUAUUUCAACCUAUUUCAAAUAUACCUCUAAAAUUAAAAUCUGUUAAUAAAUUUUGUUAUCUGUAUAAAAUUAGUAUUUUGUUCUUUUAAAUAUACUCCUCCGUUAUUACCUACUUUUCUUAUUUGCCUUUAAGUUAGGGACAAAAAAAUUAUUUUAACUUUUGAUCUUCUCAAAUAUACUCCUCUACCAUCACCAACAUUUCUUAUUUAUACAAACCGUCCCUAGAGCAAAUAGUAAAGGGCUUAGUGGUUGGUACCCGAGACCCAAGUUCGAAUUCUAGUUGAUUCAUAUUUCCAGCUAAGUUUAUUUCUAAAUGAAAUAAACGAAGCAGGUAGCAUGCUAUCUAUCUCUCAAAAAAAAAAAAAACAUUUCUUAUUUAUUCUUAAGUUAAGGACAAAAUUGGUAUUUAAUUUUUUUAGCUGUGAUAGAUAUUUAACUUACGUUUAAUCCAAAUUAACUUAACGGAUAGUAACUGUAGGGGUAUUUUAGAAUAAUAGAGGAACAUACGAGGGGUAUAUUAGAAAGGAAAAAAAAAAUAGAGAUAAAUAAGAUAUUUUUGAAGUUUUGAGAGAUAUAUUGGCAAUUAUCCUAAAAUUUAACAUCUUAGAAAUAUUAUUCUAUAUUAGGAUUAUUCAUUUCAUAUGGAAACCCCAACCAAGUAUCAACAUGAAGUAUAUUCUCCCUAUUUAUAUAAACCAUCAUAAAUACUCAUACAAACAAUAAUUUAUUUAAAAAAUAAAUAUAUAUUUUUAAGACAUAUAAUUUAUUAUAAAAAAAAAUUGACUGUUCCUAGCGUAAGUGGCAAAAAGCUUAGUGGUUGAUACUCGAUGUCCCAAGUUCGAAUUUUAGUUGAUUCACAUUUUCAACUAAAUUUAUUUUAUAAAAUAAAAUAAACGAAGCGAGUAGUAUACUAUCUAUCUUUAAAAAAAAUUAUUAUAAAAAAGUUAAAUAAAUAAGCAAUAAACAAAAGGGACCUGAGAGGGGACUUGAAUCUUACACCCCACGUGUCAAAAUCUAAUCCAAACCCCAGAUGUUAGGUUCGGGAUGAAUUUUUAAAAUCCGCAUGCAUCCAAAAUCUAAUCUGUUCAAAAUUUUGAAAUUUAAACCUGAACCUGAAAAUUUUAAUCCAAACAUUUAUUGCUCUUUGCCAUAUUUCAAAUAUAGUAUAUUAAAAUUUAAUUUUUAAAAUAUAAAUUCAAUUAUAACAUCUAAUAUUUAUAUAUGUACAGAGAGAGAGAGAGUCCGACUGCUAUAUUUUUAUGAGUACAAUCACAUUCGUCUUCAUAAAUUAUUUUCAAUGAUAUAAUUUCUGAAUCAACAAUCCAUACCGUUAAACAUUAUUUAAUGAGUGAAAAUGAUUAAAGGAAUAGAUUUAAUGGCAAAAAAACUUACAAAUACGAAAUGCUUAAUGCUUUUAAAAACACCAUAGUGGGACUUUUUAUAAAUAUAUAU